CGGUGCCACGCGGCGCGUCAUUGGGCGGCGGGCGCGAGGGCAGCGGCGCGGCGGCCCGCCCCUCGGCUGCGGGCUAGGCUGAGACGGGAGGGUCCUCGACUAAAGCCAGGAGCGGAUCAAAGUGGUGGGACUCGCGCCGCGGCCGCGGAGACGUGAAGGCCCUCCGCACGCCGCCUCCGACCCGCCGGUGCUCGCCCGCGCUCUCCUCCCCGUCCCCAUGGAGAAGACGGAGCUGAUCCAGAAGGCGAAGCUGGCCGAGCAGGCCGAGCGCUACGACGACAUGGCCACCUGCAUGAAGGCCGUGACGGAGCAGGGCGCCGAGCUGUCCAACGAGGAGCGCAACCUGCUGUCGGUGGCCUACAAGAACGUGGUGGGCGGCCGCCGGUCCGCCUGGAGGGUCAUCUCGAGCAUCGAGCAGAAGACCGACACCUCGGACAAGAAGCUGCAGCUCAUCAAGGACUACCGGGAGAAGGUGGAGUCCGAGCUGCGCUCCAUCUGCACCGCCGUGCUGGAAUUGUUGGAUAAGUAUUUAAUAGCCAACGCAACUAAUCCAGAGAGCAAGGUCUUCUAUCUGAAAAUGAAGGGCGAUUACUUCCGGUACCUGGCUGAAGUUGCAUGUGGUGAUGAUCGAAAACAAACGAUAGACAAUUCCCAAGGGGCUUACCAAGAGGCUUUUGAUAUCAGCAAGAAGGAGAUGCAGCCCACACACCCGAUCCGCCUGGGGCUGGCUCUCAACUUCUCCGUGUUCUACUAUGAGAUCCUCAAUAACCCCGAGCUCGCCUGCACGCUGGCCAAGACGGCUUUUGACGAGGCCAUUGCAGAACUCGAUACACUGAAUGAAGACUCGUACAAAGACAGCACCCUCAUCAUGCAGUUGCUUAGGGACAACCUCACAAUGAUAAUAGAAAAAAUAAUGAAGAAAAAAAAUACAGGUUGAGCUUUCCUUAGCUUCUUCUAUAGGUUCAAGUAAAUUUGAUGUGUCAAAACCUUAGACCGACUGGAAGAAGGGGAACCCCACCCCCACCCCCGUCUUAUAAAUGUAGUUCUCCUCCCCAAGCCCUGCUGGGGCUCCCACUUUUGCUGGAUAGGAUUCUUUCUCAUCCCAGCACCGUAUCUGCUCAGCUUUGAUGAGCAGGGAAGUUAUGAAAGCACUGUCUUCCCAGCCGUUAGAAAUCCCUGUAGUUCUCAGUUACAGAAGAAUGAACAGCAUAAACCGCUUCUGUGGAAGAAAGGCACGCUGAGCGAUUGGACCUCUUCCCAGACACGGCCUGGUGCUUUAUGGACAUCGGACAGUGCAGGAGAAGAAUGUGACGCGGCAGAAGGCGCGGAAAACUGACCGCGGACAGGGUGGCGUCCUCCCCUCCAGAAACCUCUGUGCACAUCUCCAUUCCUUCCUCCAUGUGGAUUUCCUAGAGCAAAGAAACCAUUCACGUGUACGGAAUCAGCUGUUCCUAGCCUUUCACACUGCAGCUGUGGGAAACUCCAUUCCUUGAUUUGUGUUUGUCUUGGCCCUCCUGGUGUGCAGUCACUGCUGUAGCAAAGUAUUAAUAGCUCCAUUUCACAUAAACACAAGUAACUUCCAAACACUUACGUAGAGGACUAAAAAUGCAUUUGGUAUUUAAGUAAUCUGAACCAGUUCUGCAAGUGACUGUGUUUUGUAUUACUGUGAAGAUCUGAAAAUGUAGUUAAUUACAGUUAAAAGAGUGUUUUACAUAACUUCUUAAUUUCUACAUUCCCUCCCUUACUCUUUGGGGGUUUCCUAUCAGUGAGCAAGUUUCCAUGUUCUUAAUGUAUUCCUUUUGGGCAGGAAUCCGGAAGUAUUAGGUUGAAUGGGAAGCAUUUGAUAAUUCUGGGCUGCGGGUCACAAAUUGAAAAGCCUCCUGUGUCACACAUGGUGGAGGUCUUGGGUAGCUGUGACAACAGGGAGUUUCCUCAUUCACUCUUCAUUUGCUGCUGUUUUGGUUGACAACUUCCCUUCCUAAUAAAAAUUCACUUACACCUUCUGCCUUUGUAGUUCUGGUGUUCACUUUACUAGACAAUAAAGUAGCAUGAUGCUGCCAGAAUACAAGCGUUGCUUUUGGCAAAUUAAAGUGCAUGUCAUUUCUUAAUACCGUAGAAUGGGGAAAUAAAGUACACAAGUCCAAGUUUAAAAUUUUAGUACUUUUCCAUGCAGAUUUGUGCACAUGUGAGAGGUGUCCAGUUUGUUUAGCGAUUGUUAUUUAGAGAGUUGGGCCACCACUGUGUGUUGCUAAUCAUUGACUGCAGUCCCAAAAAAGCCUUUGAAAAUGUUAUGCCCUAUGUAACAGCAGAGUAACGUAAAAUAAAAUUGCAUUUUAUAAACCA